GCGGGUGUGGCGGAAUGGCAGACGCGCCAGACUUAGGAUCUGGUGCCGUAAGGCGUGGAGGUUCAAGUCCUCUCACCCGCA
rnacentral:tRNA from 1 species